ACCUACGGGAGGCAGCAGUGGGGGAUAUUGCACAAUGGGGGGAACCCUGAUGCGGCGACGCCGCGUGGGCGAUGGAGCGCCUCGGCGCGUAAAGCCCUAUCAGCAGGGAAGAAGAUGACGGUACCUGACUAAGAAGCCCCGGCUAAAUACGUGCCAGCAGCCGCGGUAAUACGUAUGGGGCAAGCGUUAUCCGGAUUUACUGGGUGUAAAGGGAGCGCAGGCGGCCUGGCAAGCCUGAUGUGAACUACCGGGGCCCAACCCAGGGGCUGCAUUGGGAACUGCCAGGCUGGAGUGCCGGAGAGGCA
rnacentral:rRNA from 1 species